GGCCUCGUGGCCCAAUGGUUAAGGCGCCUGACUACGGAUCAGGAGAUUCCAGGUUCGACUCCUGGCGGGGUCA
rfam:Schizosaccharomyces cryophilus OY26 unplaced genomic scaffold supercont4.15, whole genome shotgun sequence.